ensembl:lincRNA
AAAAAUCUGAAUUUCUAUAUAAUUUCUCUGAAAUAUAACAUAGAAGAGUAUAGAAAUCAUAUCUAUCCAUGUCACCAGUAACUCCCACUGUAUCUAGCCUAGAGUUAGUGUUCAGAUUAUAUUUUUCUAAAUAAAUAGAUUUUAUUUUAGAGAUACCUAUUUUAAAAGGCACAUUUUUUUUUUCUCAUAGGAAAGCUUAUAAAAUACUCAUGGAUUUGGCUCAGCGAUUCUCCCACCUGCCUUGCAAAUGCAAGGACCUGAGUUCGAUCCCCGGUACAAAAGAAAAGAAAACAAAACAAAAGAAAAAAAAAAACACUCAUGGAGAGUAAGUCAGUAUAAUGCAGAAGACUGCUACAGGAUGCCUCCUUGGAAUAUUAGUCACAGCUACUUAAGACUCUUCUGUUUUUUUCUCUUCCUCCUGGGACUUCUCUCCACUACUAUUAUCAAAUUAAGUAAGUAAUGGAUGUAAAAUUCCUCUUUUAUA